ensembl:lncRNA
GGGAGGGGGGGGAGGGUGGGGUGGGGGGGCGCAAAGGCCUCCGUGAACCUAAAUAUACAGAGGCAGCUCUGUAACUGGUCGACAUUAAUCACACGUCUGAUAUAAGUGAUGAUGUAUAGUUUAUUAUAUGUGAUACAUGAUGUAUAGUUUAUCAUAUGUGAUACAUGAUGUAUGGUUUAUUAUAUGCGAUAGUUUAUUAUAUGUGAUACAUGAUGUAUAGUUUAUUAUAUGUGAUAGUUUAUUAUAUAUGUAUUACAGGAUGUAUAGUUUAUCAUAUGUGAUACAUGAUGUAUAGUUUAUCAUAUGUGAUACAUGAUGUAUAGUUUAUUAUAUGUGAUACAUGAUGUAUAUUUUAUCAUAUGUGAUACAUGAUGUAUAGUUUAUUAUAUGGUGUGAUACAUGAUGUACAGUUUAUUAUAUGUGAUACAUGAUGUAUAGUUUAUUAUAUGUGUGAUACAUGAUGUAUAGUUUAUUAUAUGUGAUACAUGAUGUACAGUUUAUUAUAUGUGUGAUACAUGAUGUACAGUUUAUUAUAUGUGAUACAUGAUGUAUAGUUUAUUAUAUGUGUGAUACAUGAUGUAUAGUUUAUCAUAUGUGAUACAUGAUGUAUAGUUUAUCAUAUGUGAUACAUGAUGUAUAGUUUAUUAUAUGUGUGAUACAUGAUGUAUAGUUUAUUAUAUGUGAUACAUGAUGUAUAGUUUAUCAUAUGUGAUACAUGAUGUACAGUUUAUUAUAUGUGGUAUACAUGAUGUAUAGUUUAUC